rnacentral:rRNA from 1 species
AACGUAGGUACCGAGCGUUAUCCGGAUUUACUGGGCGUAAAGAGCGCGCAGGCGGUCGUUCAAGUCGCGUGUGAAAGCCCCCGGCUCAACUGGGGAGGGUCACGCGAUACUGAUCGACUCGAAGGCAGGAGAGGGUAGUGGAAUUCCAGGUGUAGCGGUGAAAUGCGUAGAUAUCUGGAGGAAUACCGGUGGCGAAGGCGGCAUCCUGGACCAUUACUGACGCUGAGGCGCGAAAGCUAGGGGAGCAAACGGGG